CCAUACAGCCAGCACAAAGGAGAACCCAGACUUCUAGUGAUAAGUGACACAAGAUCUUUCAUGACCAUUGACCUGGAUGUGCAUUUUCAGAAUGCGUAAUGAACUUGGGUAGACUGAAACAUAAGCAGCAAGAAAAAAAGAUCAGAAAGAUGCUGCCCUCUGAUGGCAUUCACUGGAACUGCUGUCUCACAGUUCACACAACCCAGUCCAGUCAGAAGAUGUGCUCAGUCAACCCGAAAAUCUGUGGGAGGAACCCUUGAAACAUUAUCAGGAAUCAUCAAUCUUGAGGAGGGAACAUACAAGAAACUAUAUAUGAAACAAGAAAGAGAAUUGGUGAGAAGAAUGGGGUGCAAAGACUUCAAGUCUCCUUGAUGGAGUGGCACCAUAAGCACCUGCCCACACCGGCUGUUCCUUACCUUCAUACUGUGUCUCCAGGUCUCUCACCAGCAAGGACAGGAAGCUGUGAUUGGCUGAAAGCAGGGCUUUGAUCCAGCUCUCCUGACUCUGCUGGUCUUCAGCCGCAAGCUUAUAGGUCCUGAGGCCUGUCCCGCUGAA